UGCCGGCAGCACAGAAUGAACAACAUGUGCACCAUGGGGUGCCCCAUGUUUCAUGAUAUAGCACAGGGGUGGCGAACUGAGAAAUAGAUGUAAA